GGAGGAGUCGCAUAGCUGGUCCAUUGCACGGGUUUGCUAAACCCGCGAGCCUCAAUUGGCUCACGUGGGUUCGAAUCCCACCUCCUCCG
rnacentral:tRNA from 1 species